AACUUGCUGUUACAGAUACAUAUCUGAACUGAGCAACCUGUCUGACUUUGCCGUCAAAAUUAUAGUGCCCAGAGCAGUCAAACGCAGGGAAGCAGUCAAUUCGCUAGCAGACCCGGUGUCUUCACAAAGCUUAUUUCUCUCUGGAAGCACACGCGGUGCCAGCCGUACAAUGGAAACCACGGAAGAGAACAGUGUGGAGAUGAUGAUGAUGAUGCAGGCCCUGCACCAGCAAUUUCAUCCUAUGACCCUGUCAACGCUCCUGUAGGGAUCCUUCCUGCUCAGAUGCCAGCUGGGUCAGCCUUCCCAGGAGCAGAGAUCUGGACUUGGCUUGUGCGGCCUAUGGACCUAAGACCCUGCAUAGGAGCCAAGGAUACACUCAGCCCAUCUGCCCCUCCAUUCUCUGGCUGACCAGGAAGCUCUGGCUCAAAAUAGCAGCAGUUUACAAAGGAGAUUCCAUCUGUGAUGGGAAGUGCAGGCGCACGCAGCUCUGUUCCUGAACACAGUCCUCACUACUCUGGCAUUUGCUACCUGAGGCGAUGGGUGUCACCCACUUUUUGAUGAUGCACUGAAGACUGUUCCUUGACCUCUGGAAUUUAGUAAAAGCAGAAGACUUGGGGCAUAAAUGGGAGGAAGAGAGGAGAAAGGGGCUUUUUAGAACAUGGGUGUUCCUGACUUGAGCCUUAGACAUGGAAAUUAUUGUUUGGAUGAAAGUUAAAAUAGUCUUUCAACAAA